AUCAAAUCUUUGUUGAAAACCAAAACUGCCAGGUUAACUCUCCAAGAGUACAUCUUUUGAUUUUCCAAGGUGUGUUCGAUCAUGAUACUUCUGAUAAGGAUCGUCAGCAUACCAGUUUCACCUUUUCCAGAAAGAUGUCGUCAUUUUACCUAAGAGUUUACUCUGGGUUUUAUUGCAGAACAAAAAUCCCCUCAGGUCCCUCAGGAGCAGCACUGUGUCUAAAACAGCUCAAAAUCACCUUCACUCACAAAUCUGGACCUUCUGUAUUUCCUGUCUGACUGGAUGAUGUUCCCAUUUACCAUCAUCGAAGUGAUAGACCUCCAAGUUCUAUCACUCUUUUCCUCAAACAACUCUACCUACUCUUUACCAUCCUCAUAUAGAGUGGGAGAGAGAGAAAGGAAGAGAGAGAGAGAGAAACAUCGACGUGA